rnacentral:pre_miRNA from 1 species
ACUCAAAACCCUUCAGUGACUUCCAUGACAUGAAAUAGGAAGUCAUUGGAGGGUUUGAGCAG